CAAGGUUGGCAAGUAUGCAGUAACUUAGUAAAACGUAUUUGUUUGAUCUAUUUAAAGAAAAAAAGAAAAUAAACGUUGUUAAUAUCCCUGUUUGAUUUUGAACGAAAAAGAAGAAAAAAAAAAGCCAAUAAAAUAAAUUAGUUGUUUCCGGAAGUACUGCCCCCGAGAUGCUGAUUGACAGGUGUAGAGUGACGCACCUGCUCGACUCGGCAAACGACGAGUAGAGACAAGAGACGUCACACAGAAACUGUUUAAAAUAAACUAAUAAAAGGUAUCCAAAGAUGAAUCCAAACGCUAACACCUACCGAUGAAGAGAGAACCCCCAAGAAAGGACGACAGAGAGAUUGGAAAACGUUGUUUCCCCUCCAUCGAAAUGUGCUGGUGUCUUGACGCAGUGUCUCAGGGAAGUCAACGGCAGCUUUAUGGACGGCGCAAGCUCAGCUGAUCUCCGCUGUCAAAGAGGCAGCUGCAACUUUCUUGCCUCCUCCAUGGCUUCACUCAGAGACACUGGCGGUCACCACACUCCUCCGACUUUCAGG